CCCCACACACACACCAGGAGAGAGCGAGGAUACCACGGUGGCCAAAUGGGAGUGAUACCAUCGCGGGGCAUCUUCUGGCGUCAGAGGACUGUAGGGUCUAGGGAAUGAGCAGUGUGGUUUGGGGCUGCCAAGGGAGGACCCCUGCGGUCCAGGAGAAAAGAACUGAGAUCCUAGGACUCGCAAAGCCCCGGAAGGGGAGAGUGAAUAAACACAGAACGGGGCCUCACCCUCCCUGCACUAUUCUCCCCCAGCCCGUCGCCUGCAGUUCCGGAAAGUUAACCCCUUGGAGGCCAAGCCUGGGGUUACGUACUCCCCUACCCAACCCUGCUUCCGCGUGCGCACCCUCCUCCCGCUCCAACUCCCUGUCGCUUCGUCCCGCCCUCCCCUACGCCCCCCCUCCCCGCUUGCCACUAUAAAUAGCCUCUUUUCCCGUUUCCUAAAUUCUCUGCUGACGUCGGCAGCGCGUCAGUGUGUAGGAGCCGCGGCCGCAUGAAUGAGCCGCCGCACGAGUACUACGCGCGCCUAUAAAAGCGGCGGCGCCGGCCGGGCUGCGGGAGGCAAGCCGGCACUGGUGCGACGCGGCCCGACAGCACCUGCCGGCACCCAAAUGCAGACGCAGACACUAUGGAGAAACAUCAAGCGGAGAGCCGAGCCCCCGACCCCAUUUCCCGAGGCUGAGCAGCUCCUGCGCCAUCCUUUCAAGAAAGUGGGGAGAAGGUGCUGGCGUCUCAGGAGACGCGCCCCCUCAUUUCUCCCCUGUCCGCAGAGCGGUGACUCAGCCUAGAUGGCCCCGACUGACUGAGCCAGGGCGCCCACGACAGACAGACGCACACCUCGGCCCUGCGGCUUUCUUGGGACCCCCGUCCUGCAUGCUCCACACACGCCCCUUCCCUGUCCCGUCCCUUCCCGUCCGGUCCCGUCCCGUCCCAUCGGACUGUCCCACUGAGCUCAGGACUUCCCGCCUCUGCAAGCGGAGCUGUCCUCUCAGGACCAGGCGGGGGCGGGGCUUCGAUCAGGCCGCCCCGCCCUACCCCCACCGCUCCCCACCGCCGGAAAUGCCUCCCCGCUGGGACAUCUUUGACGUCACAGGACUCUGACGUCACGGUCGCGUGUCUGUCCGCGCGCGCUUGGGAGGAGGUGGGGGGGCCUGAGAAGCAGCAGCACUCUCAACUGCGGGCGACGGGAUAUCCCCGCCCGGGCAGCGCGCCGGCACCUUGGCUCUAGACUGCUUACUGCCCGGGCCGCCUUCAGUAACAGUCUCCAGUCACGGCCACCGACGCCUGGCCCCGCCCCAGGACCGCCGACCCCCGGCCCCUCCACGCCUCCCUGCGCCGCUGUCCGCGGUGCUGAUGCAGUGCAAGCGCCUCCCUCGGGCACGCCUGUUCAAGGUCCCUGUGGGUUGCGGUGGGCGCAGGCCCCGCAGACACUCGCGCCACCCCCGCCGCCCGCGGUGCUGACGUCAGCCUGCAAGCCCCGCCCCCGCGUCUCCAGGGCAACCGUGGCUUUCGAUUGUUACUGUGGGAACCGGAGGUAACAGUCUACAGCCAUGGUCGCCCCGCAGCACGCCCACGCUCCCCACCACUCCCGAGUUCUGCCAGCCUGGGUUUGGGCAGAUACAGAGCAAGAGGAGGCGGGGCGGCGACGCAACAUUCGAUGUGUCUGCGGAGGUGGCAAGAGGUGUGCUCAGAAAGGCGGCCUUUCAGGCUGCUGUGCAUCUACCUCGGUGCAGAAGCAAGAUCCGCGGAGUGUCUGAACAUCCUCCUCAGAGACUCUCCUGUCUUCCUAGUCGAGGUAUCGCUGCCUAAGGUGGCGAGAAAAUGGGUGGUUCUGCGAUAAGGAUUCUUAUCUCAUGAGUGGUGAACCGAUGGGAUCAGGAGUCCUGUGAGAAGGAAGAAGUCACUUUUGCCAGCAGAAAGCUGAAGGGGGAGGAGAAGGAAGUUUUAUCACACCUUUCUUCCAGAAAACCCUAGGUGAGCAGGUAGAGGGGAAAGGGCAAAGAAUCCCUUUCCUGAUAGAGCCAUAACUCUGUCCCCCAACUUUCUCCUGGGCCAUCAUUAAAAGGGUCCUUAACACAGCAAGAAGCUGGCAGGCUAGUGAAAUUCACCUGGCCCCUAAUUCAUUGUCUGAAGGUAUCAGCCAGCAGUCUUCCCUCAACUGGUCUGUAAGUAAUGCAUCCCAACUUGAGAUCUUCAAACGUGCCCCCAAAAGGAGUACAACCACAGAGACUGCACGUAAAUACUCUCUGUGGCUAGGGCUGUUGAGAGACUCUGUCUGAUAGGGUAGAAAUCCUGAGUGUAAUCAAGAUGCAGAAAACAAAUAGCAGGGAUAAUUUGAAAAGAGGACAGCCGGACAGUGGUGGCGCACGCCUUUAUUCCCAGCACUCGGGAGGCAGAGACAGGCAGAUUUCUGAGUUCGAGGCCAGCCUGGUCUACAAAGUGAGUUCCAGGACAGCCAGGGCUAUACAGAGAAGCCCUGUCGUCUCGAAAAAAACCAAAAAAAAAAAAAAAAAAAAAAAAAAAAAAAAAAAGAAAAAAGAAAAAAAGAAAAGAGGACCUUUUGCAGAUGGAACCCAUCAGAAGAUGUGGUUAGAAGGUUGACUAUAUAAUGCUUUGAGUGUUCGUUGUCCUAGAAAACAUUUAGUGUAAACCAUGCCUUCUUUCCCAACUUUACACAUUAGAAAGCAGAAGCCCAGGUUGGGCAUUUAGCCUAUAGAGAGCGGUAGUUUUUGCUUGCUUUUUACUGGACAGCAGAAAGACCAACCAAAACCAGGAGCUGCAGUGUAUACCUGCAGUCCCAGUUGCUCAGGAGCCUAGACAAUAAAUAUGAGAUAAAUAUGAGAUUCGUGUCUCAAAGGGGGGGGGGAUGAUGACAACAGACAAGAAUAUGGGGCUUUUGAGUCUGAAUCAUCCAAUUUUGAGUAAGGUACUUAGCCUUUCUGUGCCUGUUUCCUCAAUUGUAAGACUCAGUUAUUAGGUUAAUGACAGUACUUUUUCAUGAAAUUAGACAAUGGGGGGGGGGGGGGACAGGGGUGCUGGGCAUAGAGCUCAGUAGUAGGUCUGUGCUUAGCAUGCCUAAGGUCCUGGGUUUGAUCCCAGCACCAAAAAUAAAUGAGUUAGGCUAUGGUAGAGCAUGCUCUGAAUACCAGAUCUUGGGAGACAGAGAUAAGUGGAUUUCUGUGAGUUCAAGGAUAACCAGAACUUCCGUGAGACCCCCGUCUCAAAAAUAAGUUAGAUGACAGGCUUCUAUUUGUCUCAUUGUCUGGUAUAGUUAAUUCUCAAUAAAUGUUAUUUCUACCUCUGGA